GCCUCACGGAGAGUGUGAGGUAAGGCCUGCUCAAUGUUAAAUAGCCGCAGUAUCCUGACUGUGCAAAGGUAGCAUAAUAAUUUGCCUCUUAAUUGGUGGCUGGUAUGAACGGCUAAACUGAGUAGAAGGUCUUAGAACUUGAACUUAAGCUUAAGGUAAGAACGCCUUAAUUAACCCCAGGGACGAUUAGACCCUAGGAGCUUCUCCAGGCUUUUGAUUGGGGCAAUCAAGGGAAGAGACCAAACUUCUAUAAGUUACCCUAGGGCUAACAGCGUGAUCUAAGGCUUGAGUACCUAUUGGACCUUAGGCUUACGACCUCGAUGUUGAGUUAAGAGGUGCAGGAGCCCUAGUCUGUUCGACUAGUAACCUCUUACA
rnacentral:rRNA from 1 species